UCAGUGACAAUUUCCUCA
rnacentral:snRNA from 1 species